UUCUACCGCAAAAAAUCUACAGU
rnacentral:snRNA from 1 species